UCACAUUUUAACCAGAGAUUUAGAGCAAACCCAUAUCCAUGCUACAACAACCAGACUUUGGACUUCUGGGGCCAUGAGGCGUUAUCACAGCCUGAUGAGAGAGAGAGACGAGAGUUCCUCCCGUGAAAAGGAGGGAGAAGAUCCCAUAGCAGCUUUGCAGUCCCUUACUGAUUUAUGCUCUGGAAGAUAAGACACGCUUUGCAAGAUUCAGCUGACGCAGACCUGCUGUGUCAUAUUACUUUCUUUGUCUUGCUGGAAAGAAGUGCAAAAUACCUAAGGAAACCUCCUUGUGGCCUCCAUUAACCCCAGCUAGCACCUACCAAAUCAGCAAAAUCCGAAAUAUGAUUUAAAUAAAUUAUGCUUAAAGAAAAAAC
rnacentral:lncRNA from 10 species